rnacentral:rRNA from 1 species
ACGGGAGGCAGCAGCUAAGAAUAUUCCGCAAUGGACGAAAGUCUGACGGAGCGACGCCGCGUGGAUGAUGAAGGCCGGAAGGUUGUAAAAUCCUUUUAAGUGUGAGGAAUAAGUCAGGUAGGGAAUGACCUGAUGGUGACUGUAGAUAAUGAAUAAGCACCGGCUAAUUACGUGCCAGCAGCCGCGGUAACACGUAAGGUGCGAGCGUUAUUCGGAAUUAUUGGGCGUAAAGGGCAUGUAGGCGGUUUUGCUAGCUUGGUGUGAAAUCCCGGGGCUUAACCCCGGAACUGCAUUGAGAACUGCAUGACUAGAGUCAAUGAGGGGAAACCGGAAUUCCAGGUGUAGGGGUGAAAUCUGUAGAUAUCUGGAAGAACACCAAUGGCGAAGGCAGGUUUCUAGCAUAUGACUGACGCUGAGGUGCGAAGGUGCGGGGAUCAAACAGGAUUAGAUACCCUGGUA